rnacentral:rRNA from 1 species
AAAUUGAAGAGUUUGAUCAUGGCUCAGAUUGAACGCUGGCGGCAGGCCUAACACAUGCAAGUCGAACGGUAACAGGAAACAGCUUGCUGUUUCGCUGACGAGUGGCGGACGGGUGAGUAAUGUCUGGGAAACUGCCUGAUGGAGGGGGAUAACUACUGGAAACGGUAGCUAAUACCGCAUAAUGUCGCAAGACCAAAGAGGGGGACCUUCGGGCCUCUUGCCAUCGGAUGUGCCCAGAUGGGAUUAGCUAGUAGGUGGGGUAACGGCUCACCUAGGCGACGAUCCCUAGCUGGUCUGAGAGGAUGACCAGCCACACUGGAACUGAGACACGGUCCAGACUCCUACGGGAGGCAGCAGUGGGGAAUAUUGCACAAUGGGCGCAAGCCUGAUGCAGCCAUGCC